rnacentral:rRNA from 1 species
GACGAACGCUGGCGGCGUGCUUAACACAUGCAAGUCGAACGGAGAAUUUUACUUCGGUGAAAUUCUUAGUGGCGAACGGGUGAGUAACGCGUAGACAACCUGCCUCUUAGAUGGGGACAACAUCGCGAAAGCGGUGCUAAUACCGAAUGAAGUGGAGCUUCCGCAUGGAAGCAUCACCAAAGGUGGCCUCUAUUUAUAAGCUACCACUGAGAGAUGGGUCUGCGUCUGAUUAGCUAGUUGGCGGGGUAAUGGCCCACCAAGGCGACGAUCAGUAGCCGGUCUGGGAGGAUGAACGGCCACAUUGGGACUGAGACACGGCCCAAACUCCUACGGGAGGCAGCAGUGGGGAAUCUUCCGCAAUGGACGAAAGUCUGACGGAGCAACGCCGCGUGAGUGAAGAAGGUUUUCGGAUCGUAAAGCUCUGUUGUUUGAGGCGAAUGUGCAGACUUUGAAUAAGGGUUUGUAAUGACGGUAUUAAACGAGAAAGCCACGGCUAACUACGUGCCAGCCGCCGCCGUAA